rfam:Triticum urartu cultivar G1812 contig275110, whole genome shotgun sequence.
UCAAUACUCCCUCCGUCCGAAAAAGCUUGUCCCAAGCUUGUUUCUCAAAUGGAUGUAUCUAGCACUAACUUGGUGCUAGAUACAUCCAUUUGAGGGACAAGUUUUUCCGGACGGAGGGAGUACAAC